UUCCUCCUGUCUUCCCUCCUUUCCACCUCUGCAUGUGAAUUGAAAGAAAGGGGAAAGAGAAAGCCGAGCGAGAGAUCAGCAGGCACAUUGGUUUUUGUCCUUUAACUUGGGUGUGUGUGUGCUUUUCCUCACCCUUUGUCACCAACCUGCGCCUGGGACCUGCAGGUUUGGAUACAAAGCAGUGAGCUAGAAGAACAACAAGCAAUUGGGGCAUUCUGGAUCCAAAGGGGAGGCCUAUUAGACCAGGUCAGGACAUGUCGGGAAAUGGUCCAUGAACAUGAGAUGCAUAUGACAGCCACACUGAAUCAACCUCAGCUGCCCAUAUAUGACUCUUUGUAUUAUAUAUUAUAUCUUGAUCAGGACAUACUAUGUAACAGCAUGACUUGUUGCUUUUUGUUUUUAAUAAUUUACAUGUCUUUAUAAUAUGAAAGUGUGAUGCUAAUAAAAUAUUUAUUAAAUGUU